CCUACGGGAGGCAGCAGUGGGGAAUCUUAGACAAUGGGCGCAAGCCUGAUCUAGCCAUGCCGCGUGAGUGAUGAAGGCCUUAGGGUCGUAAAGCUCUUUCGCCUGUGAAGAUAAUGACUGUAGCAGGUAA
rnacentral:rRNA from 1 species